CACUGAUUCCUCCUUCCUGAUGAGCCGUAAUGCCAUUAAUUUGGUGUUGCGGGGAAUUUGGACUGUUACUUUGAAAAAAUUAGAGUGUUUAAAGCAAGCUAACGCUUGAAUACAUUAGCAUGGAAUAAUGAAAUAGGACGUUCGAUCCUAUUUUGUUGGUUUCUAGGAUUGACGUAAUGAUUAAUAGGGAUAGUUGGGGGCAUUAGUAUUCAAUUGUCAGAGGUGAAAUUCUUGGAUUUAUUGAAGACUAACUACUGCGAAAGCAUUUGCCAAGGAUGUUUUCAUUAAUCAAGAACGAAAGUUAGGGGAUCGAAGACGAUCAGAUACCGUCGUAGUCUUAACCAUAAACUAUGCCGACUAGGGAUCGGAUGAUGUUAAUUUUUUAAUGACUCAUUCGGCGCCUUACG
rnacentral:rRNA from 1 species